AACUAACGCUGGCGGCGUGCCUAACACAUGCAAGUCGUACGAGAAAGCCGGCUUCGGCUGGUGAGUAAAGUGGCGCACGGGUGAGUAACGCGUGGAUAAUCUGCCCUUAAGUGUGGAAUAACGUACCGAAAGGUGCGCUAAUACCGCAUAAUGCCUGGCAACACAAGUUGUCCGGCCAAAGAAGGCCUCUGUUUACAAGCUUUCGCUUCAGGAUGAGUCCGCGUACCAUUAGCUUGUGGUGGGGUAAUGGCCUACCAAGGCUGCGAUGGUUAGCUGGUCUGAGAGGAUGAUCAGCCACACUGGAACUGAGACACGGUCCAGACUCCUACGGGAGCAGCAGUGAGGAAUAUUGCGCAAUGGGGCAACCCUGACGCAGCAACGCCGCGUGAGUGAGGAAGUUUUCGGACUGUAAAGCUCUGUCGAGCGGGAAGAAGUGUACCAUGGCUAAUAUCCAUGAUAUUUGACGGUACCGCUAGAGG
rnacentral:rRNA from 1 species